ACUAAGCGUACACGGUGGAUGCCCUGGCAGUCAGAGGCGAUGAAGGACGUGCUAAUCUGCGAUAAGCGCCGGUAAGGUGAUAUGAACCGUUAUAACCGGCGAUUUCCGAAUGGGGAAACCCAGUGUGACUCGUCACACUAUCAUUAACUGAAUCCAUAGGUUAAUGAGGCGAACCGGGGGAACUGAAACAUCUAAGUACCCCGAGGAAAAGAAAUCAACCGAGAUUCCCCCAGUAGCGGCGAGCGAACGGGGAGGAGCCCAGAGCCUGAAUCAGCAUGUGUGUUAGUGGAAGCGUCUGGAAAGGCGCGCGAUACAGGGUGACAGCCCCGUACACAAAAGCGCAUGUGCUGUGAGCUCGAUGAGUAGGGCGGGACACGUGGUAUCCUGUCUGAAUAUGGGGGGACCAUCCUCCAAGGCUAAAUACUCCUGACUGACCGAUAGUGAACCAGUACCGUGAGGGAAAGGCGAAAAGAACCCCGGCGAGGGGAGUGAAAAAGAACCUGAAACCGUGUACGUACAAGCAGUGGGAGCCCCACCACCAAAGCAUUCUCUGGUGUUGAAGGCCCUGCAAAGCAGCAUCGCGGUGGCGGAGCGUCGUUUGCGACGCCCAACACACAAAACAAGCGGUGAGUGCUUUGGGGUGGGGUGACUGCGUACCUUUUGUAUAAUGGGUCAGCGACUUAUAUUCUGUAGCAAGGUUAACCGCAUAGGGGAGCCGGAGGGAAACCGAGUCUUAACCGGGCGUUAAGUUGCAGGGUAUAGACCCGAAACCCGGUGAUCUAGCCAUGGGCAGGUUGAAGGUUGGGUAACACUAACUGGAGGACCGAACCGACUAAUGUUGAAAAAUUAGCGGAUGACCUGUGGCUGGGGGUGAAAGGCCAAUCAAACCGGGAGAUAGCUGGUUCUCCCCGAAAGCUAUUUAGGUAGCGCCUCGUGAACUCAUCUCCGGGGGUAGAGCACUGUUUCGGCUAGGGGGCCAUCCCGGCUUACCAACCCGAUGCAAACUGCGAAUACCGGAGAAUGUUAUCACGGGAGACACACGGCGGGUGCUAACGUCCGUCGUGAAGAGGGAAACAACCCAGACCGCCAGCUAAGGUCCCAAAGUCAUGGUUAAGUGGGAAACGAUGUGGGAAGGCCCAGACAGCCAGGAUGUUGGCUUAGAAGCAGCCAUCAUUUAAAGAAAGCGUAAUAGCUCACUGGUCGAGUCGGCCUGCGCGGAAGAUGUAACGGGGCUAAACCAUGCACCGAAGCUGCGGCAGCGACGCUGAUGCGUUGUUGGGUAGGGGAGCGUUCUGUAAGCCUGUGAAGGUGGCCUGUGAGGGUUGCUGGAGGUAUCAGAAGUGCGAAUGCUGACAUAAGUAACGAUAAAGCGGGUGAAAAGCCCGCUCGCCGGAAGACCAAGGGUUCCUGUCCAACGUUAAUCGGGGCAGGGUGAGUCGACCCCUAAGGCGAGGCCGAAAGGCGUAGUCGAUGGGAAACGGGUUAAUAUUCCCGUACUUGGUGUUACUGCGAAGGGGGGACGGAGAAGGCUAUGUUGGCCGGGCGACGGUUGUCCCGGUUUAAGCGUGUAGGUGUGUGUUCCAGGUAAAUCCGGUUCACUUUAACACUGAGGCGUGAUGACGAGGCACUACGGUGCUGAAGCAACAAAUGCCCUGCUUCCAGGAAAAGCCUCUAAGCAUCAGGUAACAUCAAAUCGUACCCCAAACCGACACAGGUGGUCAGGUAGAGAAUACCAAGGCGCUUGAGAGAACUCGGGUGAAGGAACUAGGCAAAAUGGUGCCGUAACUUCGGGAGAAGGCACGCUGACACGUAGGUGAAGUGAUUUACUCACGGAGCUGAAGUCAGUCGAAGAUACCAGCUGGCUGCAACUGUUUAUUAAAAACACAGCACUGUGCAAACACGAAAGUGGACGUAUACGGUGUGACGCCUGCCCGGUGCCGGAAGGUUAAUUGAUGGGGUCAGCGCAAGCGAAGCUCCUGAUCGAAGCCCCGGUAAACGGCGGCCGUAACUAUAACGGUCCUAAGGUAGCGAAAUUCCUUGUCGGGUAAGUUCCGACCUGCACGAAUGGCGUAAUGAUGGCCAGGCUGUCUCCACCCGAGACUCAGUGAAAUUGAACUCGCUGUGAAGAUGCAGUGUACCCGCGGCAAGACGGAAAGACCCCGUGAACCUUUACUAUAGCUUGACACUGAACAUUGAGCCUUGAUGUGUAGGAUAGGUGGGAGGCUUUGAAGUGUGGACGCCAGUCUGCAUGGAGCCGACCUUGAAAUACCACCCUUUAAUGUUUGAUGUUCUAACGUGGACCCGUGAUCCGGGUUGCGGACAGUGUCUGGUGGGUAGUUUGACUGGGGCGGUCUCCUCCUAAAGAGUAACGGAGGAGCACGAAGGUUGGCUAAUCCUGGUCGGACAUCAGGAGGUUAGUGCAAUGGCAUAAGCCAGCUUGACUGCGAGCGUGACGGCGCGAGCAGGUGCGAAAGCAGGUCAUAGUGAUCCGGUGGUUCUGAAUGGAAGGGCCAUCGCUCAACGGAUAAAAGGUACUCCGGGGAUAACAGGCUGAUACCGCCCAAGAGUUCAUAUCGACGGCGGUGUUUGGCACCUCGAUGUCGGCUCAUCACAUCCUGGGGCUGAAGUAGGUCCCAAGGGUAUGGCUGUUCGCCAUUUAAAGUGGUACGCGAGCUGGGUUUAGAACGUCGUGAGACAGUUCGGUCCCUAUCUGCCGUGGGCGCUGGAGAACUGAGGGGGGCUGCUCCUAGUACGAGAGGACCGGAGUGGACGCAUCACUGGUGUUCGGGUUGUCAUGCCAAUGGCACUGCCCGGUAGCUAAAUGCGGAAGAGAUAAGUGCUGAAAGCAUCUAAGCACGAAACUUGCCCCGAGAUGAGUUCUCCCUGAGACUUAAAGUCUCCUGAAGGAACGUUGAAGACGACGACGUUGAUAGGCCGGGUGUGUAAGCGCAGCGAUGCGUUGAGCUAACCGGUACUAAUGAACCGUGAGGCUUAACC
rnacentral:rRNA from 1 species